UUUAGGCUGGGUUUCUGUACAGCACUUUGAGAUAUCAGCUGAUGUACGAAGGGCUAUAUAAAAAUAAAAAUAAAAAUAAAAUAAAUUUGAUUUGAUUUGAUUUGUAUACUGUAUGUUUGCACUCACACACCCGUUGUCUGUCUGUCUGUCUGUCUGUCUGUAGUUGUUCCACUCGGUACAGACCACCUCCACUGAGCUGUUGAAGGUGAUUGAGAAAUACCAGCGGAGGAUCACGCACCUGUCUCAGGAGGAGAAUGAGUUCGGGAUGUUUCUGAGGUUCCAGGCAGAACACAACCGCACCAAGGCUGGCAACAUGAUGGACGCAACUAGCAAGGCCCUGUGUGCCUCGGCCAAGCAGAGGCUGGUCCUGUGCCCACCCCUACACCGGAUGGAGCAGGAGGUGGAGACGUUUCGGCGACGUGCGAUCGCUGACACGCUCCUGACCGUGACCCGGAUGGAGAAAUCCAGGACAGAAUACCGUGGAGCGCUGCUCUGGAUGAAGGACGUCUCUCAGGAACUCGACCCGGACACCUGUAAACAUCUGGACAAGUUCCGCAAGGUGCAGUCCCAGGUCAGAGGUUCGAAGGACCUGUUUGAGAAGCUGAAGAACGAUGUGUGUCAGAAGGUUGACAUGCUGGGAGCCUCCCGCUGUAACAUGCUGUCUCACUCUCUCUGCACAUACCAGAUCACCCUCCUCCAGUUCUGGGAGAGGACCGCCUGUGUGAUGAGUGGGAUUCAUGAGUCUUUUAAAGGCCUUGUCCCCUACCAGUUCACCACUCUCAAGGACCUCCGGGACCCUCUGGAGCAGCUGACUGAUUUAGACCUAACCAACCAGGACCAUAACAAAGAGAAGGACAUACAGAGUAACAGUCUGGUCUCUCUGGAUGAAGAGAAGCCAUCAGAAUCAGCCUCUGGCCCCUUCCAUGCUGCUGAUGGACAGAGCCACACCAGUGAAAGCUCUCUGUGUGCUAGUCUGGACUCUGCCCUGUGUGACCUCAGUGGGCAUCUCAGUACAGCCAGCACUGAUGACGACCUCUCACUCCUGGCCUGUGACCAGCCCCAGCCUGGCCUCUCCUCCUCCAUGCAGCCUCUGGCCCCUCUUCAGACCACAGCAGCCUCUGGUGGUCCCUGGGGGUUUGGAGGUGGGGACCUCUGUGGAAGCUCUCUACAGCAGCAGGGUCCCAGGGUGGGGGACAAGGAGGAGGAGGACAGAGAGACCGGGGACAUGGCCUUUCUGAAGGACCUCCUGUGCCCUGGACCAAUGGACGCAGACGAGUUCAGUCGAGAGUGGCAAGGCACCUUUGGCUGCUUAGAGUUCUCUGACCCUGUCCCCCCCACAGCCCCCACCCCCGCCCUAGUCCCUCCUCCCCCUACUGGAGCAGCCUGCCUCCCCUCUCAGUCCCCCAGUCCCACUGGCUUCCUGCCCUCCCAGCUGCUGGACCACAGUCUGAGUUCUACAGGCUGGGCGACGCCUCCCAUGUUCCAGGCUCCGCCCCUACAGUCCCCAGUGUCUGGCCAGGUCCAGUCAGCUAAGGGUGGCCCAACGUCAACAGCCAAUGUUCCUAAAGCUGCAUCGCGGGACAUGUCUGCAUGGUUCAACCUGUUUGCUGAUCUGGACCCCCUCUCUAACCCUGACACCAUCGGACGCUCUGAUGAUGAGAUCCUCAAUGCCUGAGGGGUGUGUGUGUGUGUGUGUGUCUAGUUCCUAAAGCUGCAUCGCGGGACAUGUCUGCAUGGUUCAACCUGUUUGCUGAUCUGGACCACCUCUCUAACCCUGACACCAUCGGACGCUCUGAUGAUGAGAUCCUCAAUGCCUGAGGGGUGUGUGUGUGUGUGUGUGUGUGUGUGUGUGUGUGUGUGUGUGUGUGUGUGUGUGUCUAGUUCCUAAAGCUGCAUCGCGGGACAUGUCUGCAUGGUUCAACCUGUUUGCUGAUCUGGACCCCCUCUCUAACCCUGACACCAUCGGACGCUCUGAUGAUGAGAUCCUCAAUGCCUGAGGGGGGUGUGUGUAGUUACUGUAUACUUUGUAAUGUCUGUAAUAUUCUAUAUUGAUGAUUGAGGAGGAUUUGACUGAGAUUCAUCUUCUAUACAGGAUAUGUACUGUAAGUGGGGUGGGCUUAACCUUAGAGAUAUAAUAUAGAACCUAACACCUGAUUGGUUGUCUAUAGUCUAUAGUACUAAUUAUAAAGCGUUAGUUUGGGUCCUGAAUUCUGAUUGGCUGAAACAGCAUUCCAGUCGUGUAUAUCAGACAAUAUACCACAACUCCUAGUUUCCUGUUCCGUUUAUGUUGGUGAGCAGUUUCGAAUAAAUGUAAUGUAAAUGAAUAGCAAUACUGUGUUGGUGGUGUAUGGCCAGUAUAGCACUGCUAAGGGCUGUAUCCUGGAACUCUGCUUCGCGUCGUGCCAACAGCCCUUAUGCGGGGUAUAUUGGCCAUAUAUCACAGCUCCUCUGGCCUCAUUGCUUAACUAACGACUCCCCGGAAUCUGAUCCGUUUUUGGGUCUAAAGGAAGUCGAAGGAAAGUAUCCACACUGGAGUGAUGUGGAACUAUGCCAAGCAAGGGACAGCUUAUACAGUGGGUUAACAUUGGCUUUAGGUCAUCACUGUCUCCCCCAUCACUGAUUAUUUGGACGAAGGCGGUGUGAUAAAAUCAGCAGGGGGGGGGCAAACCCGGAACGCCCAAUUUAUUAAACACAUGGACCCAGAGACCCAGAACAUGGACCCAGAGACCCCCAUAACAUGGACCCAGAGACCCAGAACAUGGACCAUGGACCCAGAACUAAAUCGUGCAGCUGUGAGUUAACUGAGAUGAUGUCUAAGAUAGUUUUGCUGAUGGUCUAAUCAUGUAAACUGCAGCAUCUGGUUCUUGUCUCCACUACAAGAACUGGAUUUGAUACAUCUCCCCUUGCUAAUACUACCAUACAGCCCUUUUAGCAGGUAGGAUUUAUACUGUACUGUAGUCACAUAAAUCACCUAGGAAACAGCUUGUUUUACCUCACUGAAGCUCAUAUCACUGAUUCUGUUUUCGUGAUACAGGAACUCUAGAAGCUUUUCUCUGGAAUACGUUUGAUGGUUGUUUAUCUUCUGAAUCACCAGGAGCGAAAGCAGAAGCAGAUAGCUCUGAUCUUUUCAUGAGAAGAAUGGGAAUAUAUUCUAAAAUGGAGUAAAUAGUUUUCCCCCUCAUUAAUCUACACACAAUACCCUUAUAAUGACAAAGCAAAAUAGCUUUUUAGAAAUGUUUGCAAAUGUAUUACAAAAACCCCCAGGAAAUAUCACAUUUUCACAAGUAUUCAGACCCUUUAGUCAGUAAUUUGAAGAAGCACCUUUGGUAGUGAUUACAGCCUUGAGUUGUCUUGGGUAUGAUGCUACAAGCUUGCUCCACCUGUAUUUGGGGAGUUUCUCCCAUUCUUCUCUGCAGAUCCUUUCAAUCUCUGUCAGGUUGAAUGGGGAGCAUUGCUGCACAGCUAUUUUCAGGCCUCUCCAGAGAUUUUCGAUCAGGUUCAAGUCCGGGUUCUUGCUGGACAACUCCUGCGUUGUCUUGACUGUGUUUUUAUGGUUGUUGUCCUGGUUGGAUGGUUAAACUUCGCCCCAGUCUGAGGUCCUAAGAUCUCUGGAACAGGUUUUCAUCAAGGAUCUCAUUGUACGCUGUUCCGUUCAUCUUUCUUUCGAUCCUGACUAGUCUCCCAGUCUCUGCCACUGAAAAACAUCCCCACAGCAUGAUGCUGCCACCACCAUGCUUCACUGUAGGGAUGGUAUUGGCCAGGUGAUGAGCAGGGCCAGGUUUCCUCUAGAUGUGACGCUUGGAAUUCUGGCCAAAGUGUUCAAUCUUGGUUUCAUCAGACCAGACAAUCUUGCUUCUGUCUGGACACACUACCAUAAAGGUCUGAUUGGUGGAGUGCUGCAGAGAUGGUUGUCAUUCUGGAAGGUUCUCCCAUCUCCACAGAGGAACUCAAGCUCUGUCAGCUUGACCAUCGAGUUCUUGGUCACCACCCUGACCAAGACCCUCCUUCUCCAAUUACUCAGUUUGGCCGGGGGGAGUCUCAUAGCAAACGGUCUGAAUACUUAUAUAAAUAAGGUAUUUCUGUUUCUUAUUUUUAAUUAAUGUGAGAACAUUUAGAAAAAUCUGUUUCUGCUUUGUCAUUAUGGGGUAUUAUGUAGAUUGAUAAGGAAAAACUGAAUUUAAACCAUUUUAGAAUAAGGCUGUAACGUAACAAAAUGUGGGAAAAAGUCAAGGGGUCUGAAUACUUUCCAAAUGCGCUGUACAUACAGACAAGAAUGUAUAUCAAUCACAAAUGCUUUAUUCUAUUCAACUAUGCCUUUUAUUUCACGUAAAGGAUGUGUAACGUCAUAGGAUGAAUGCAACGGCAUGUCACAGGAUGAAACGGUUAUCAACUGACAUGUUGAAGGAACUUUAUUAAACUGUUAUUUGAGAUGUU